UACGUAGGGGGCAAGCGUUUGUCCGGAAUCAUUGGGCGUAAAGAGCGUGUAGGCGGCCAGAUAAGUCCGCUGUGAAAUCUCGAGGCUCAACUUCGAGCUGUCGGUGGAAACUGUCUGGCUAGAGUCCGGAAGAGGAGAAUGGAAUUCCUGGUGUAGCGGUGAAAUGCGCAGAUAUCAGGAAGAACACCAAUGGCGAAAGCAGCUCUCUGGGACGGUACUGACGCUGAGACGCGAAAGCGUGGGGAGCGAACAGG
rnacentral:rRNA from 1 species